UAGAAAGGGCCAAUGAGACUUGUAAUUGUU
rnacentral:piRNA from 1 species